UGCAAAGGGAGAUGAACAAGCCAAGGUUGCC
rnacentral:piRNA from 1 species